GCUUGCUUCUGUAGCAUAUAUAAAAUUGGAAUGGCAUAGAGAAGAGCAGCAUGGCCCCUGUGCAAGGAAGACGCACAAAUGUUUCCUCGUUGC
rnacentral:snRNA from 1 species